rnacentral:rRNA from 1 species
CCUACGGGCGGCAGCAGUGAGGAAUAUUGGUCAAUGGACGAGAGUCUGAACCAGCCACGUAGCGUGAAGGAUGACUGCCCUAUGGGUUGUAAACUUCUUUUAUAUGGGAAUAAAAUGUUCCACGUGUGGGAUUUUGUAUAUACCCUAUGAAUAAGGUUCGGCUAACUCCGUGCCAGCAGCCGCGGUAAUACGGAGGAUCCGAGCGUUAUCCGGAUUUAUUGGGUGUCAGGGGAGCGUAGGUGGAUUGUUAAGUCAUUUGUGAAAGUUUGCGGCUCAACCGUAAAAUUGCAGUUGAAACUGGCAGUCUGGAGUACAGUAGAGAGGGGCGGAAUUCGUGGUGUAGCGGUGAAAUGCGUAGAUAUCACGAAGAACUCCGAUUGCGAAGGCAGUUCACUGGACUGCAACUGACACUGAGGCUCGAAAGUGUGGGUAUCAAACAGGAUUAGAUACCCCAGUAGUC